GACGAACGCUGGCGGCGUGCUUAACACAUGCAAGUCGAACGGAAAGGCCCUGCUUUUGUGGGGUGCUCGAGUGGCGAACGGGUGAGUAACACUUGAGUAACCUGCCCUUGACUUUGGGAUAACUUCAGGAAACUGGGGCUAAUACCGGAUAGGAGCUCCUGCUGCAUGGUGGGGGUUGGAAAGUUUCGGCGGUUGGGGAUGGACUCGCGGCUUAUCAGCUUGUUGGUGGGGUAGUGGCUUACCAAGGCCUUGACGGGUAGCCGGCCUGAGAGGGUGACCGGCCACAUUGGGACUGAGAUACGGCCCAGACUCCUACGGGAGGCAGCAGUGGGGAAUAUUGCACAAUGGGCGGAAGCCUGAUGCAGCAACGCCGCGUGCGGGAUGACGGCCUUCGGGUUGUAAACCGCUUUCGCCUGUGACGAAGCGUGAGUGACGGUAAUGGGUAAAGAAGCACCGGCUAACUACGUG
rnacentral:rRNA from 1 species